AUCUGAAAUACACUGCACACAGCUGUGCCUCACAGAUCGACUGCAGCGCCUGGCUCCGAGUUUGCAGUCGUACCACACUGGAUCAGAUGGAACCGGUAGCUGUUUUUUAAGUUCUGAGCUUCAGUCAUGUUGGCGUGACAAUCCUGCCCCAAAGGGGGCCAGCUGGCGACCCCUGCUGCCAGAUGCAGGACAGGCACCCAACACACGAAGGUGAAAGUGGAAGCAGGUUUGCUAAGAGUGAUAUCUGAUUGCUUCAUAUGGCCUUAUGGGGGCAGCAGCGGCAAGGGAAGCACCAUAAGUCACCUGAUUUGGCCAGCUGGAGGUUGGGGGGCGCAGCAGGCCAAAGUAAAACCGCUUUGGAUAAUGGGUCGGUGUGAGAGUGUGUGCACGUGUGUGUGUGUGUGUGUGAGUACCCUGGGAUCGGGCUGCCGUCUUGUCCAGCAUGAACCCUGCUUCAUGCCCUGUGGUUCCUGGAACACACUCCGGACCACAGCGACCCCUCCUGGAUAAGUGGGUAAGUGCUUAUUGGACGUGGACAGACUGGCGAGAGCUGAAUGCUGUGCAGCGUGUAACAGCACUUGACCUGUUCUGUCUCUUGUCACCUGCGGUUUCCCCUCCUCAGGUCUUCUGAUAUUUUUAUCAUGCUACUGAAAAAUAGAGACUAAAAACGUUCCCUGCAUAGCUCUCUGCUCAAAGCUCAUCAGUGAUAAUUUAGUCACUCAGGGAAUCAGCAAGGAUUAGUUAGCUAGCCAGAUAUGUCAUCUUUAAUAAUACCUUUUUAGUAUUCAGUUUUAAAUGAAUCAUAAUUAAUCAGCCCAACUGUUUUCUGUCUCCUGCUUAGCUCUCUGGCUGGAGGGCUUGCUUGGCUCCAUCACCAUCGCUCCAUGAGGUGGGCUACAUAACGAGGGGCUUCCCGCCACAGGCUGGACCGGCAGCCAUGCCCACCUCUCAGCAGCAGACCGGGCGCAACCGGCCUGAUAUGUCAAACUUUCAGAACUGCAGCCGGGGGAACUGGGGAAGAGGCCGGGGAAACCGGGGAACCGCAGCCCGGGGAAACGGGGAACCACAGCCGGGGGAAAUAGAAUUAAGGAACUGCAGCGGGGGCAACAGGUGAACUGCAGCCAGGGGAAACGGGGAACCACAGCCAGUGGAAACGAGGAACCACAGCCAGUGGAAACUGGGAACCGCAGCCGGGAGAAAUUGGGAACUGGGGAACUGCAGCCGGGGCUACAGGUGAACUGCAGCAGCUGUGAAGUGAAACUUCUUCAAAAAGACUGUCUAUGUCAUUUGCUUUGCCCACUUAAGCCCUUAGAGUAAAUGUUUUCCAGCCAAGCAAAAUCCAUGUUUCUUGGUUGCACAAAAACAGCCAGUAUGUGAGAUCAUUAAAUCUGUUAUUUCU